rnacentral:tRNA from 1 species
UGUAGAGUAGUAUAAACUAGUGCAAAAGAUUUUGAGUCUUUAAGUAUGGGGUAUCUCCUUUUUCUGCAU